UUUGUAUUCCCUCCGUUCCAAAAUUAUUGUCUUAGAUUUGCCUAGAUAUGGAUGUAUCUCAUACUAAAACGUGACUUGAUACAUCCGUAUUUAGACAAAUUUAAGACAAGAAUUUUGAGACGGGGGGAGUACAAA
rfam:Triticum aestivum genome assembly, contig: Triticum_aestivum_CS42_TGACv1_scaffold_049629_1BS